CUCUCUCAGGUUUGUGACUUCAAACUCUUAUGAUGCAUGGGAUGGUGCUUGCUGCUUAGACGUUUUCGUUUCGUAAGAGAACAGAAGAGAAGCAUGGCAAUGUCAUCACGGGUUGCAAGGAAAAAAGUUGCAUCAAGCCAGGACAAGGCGGGCAUCCUACCGAUACCGCGCACCGAGAUCCGUGACUGCUGCAGCUAAAGUAGGCAGCCAUCCCUCUUCUGUUGGCAAACUCAGUGAAAAGCCUUGGUGAAACAGGUAGUGCCAUACUGUGCCAAAAUCGCCCUAUUGGUCUAGCACUUCAACACUGGCACCAGAAAUUGCAACCAUAUCAAUCCACAUCCACAUUCAACGUUCACAAGAAUUAAACUCUCUGAAUCAUAACUGUCAUGUCAUACAAAGGAAAUGCGAAGUUUCAGUGAUGUUCAGAACAAACAUGCACAAGGGCUGAAAGCAUUGCUGAAGGCACAUAUAUUGCUUCCCCCCUAAGUUCAUGGCACGAUUGAUAUGCAAGAUGUGAGCAGCAUAAAUCUACCAUGACCCUACUGCACCCUGGGCUGGGUUUUCAAAAUGAGAGAAGCCCCAGUAGGUCUUCAAAGAGUAUGGCGGG